ensembl:lncRNA
CGGGUAGCAAUGGAGACGGGCCUCCGGUGCGGCACUCUGAGUCUCCCACACUCAGCUCCCCACGCUCUCCUCCCUCCUCCCGGGGCCUCCAGCACUUUAAACGCCUGUUUGCGUUUAACCCUUCAUCUGACUGGUGGGCACCGAGGCAUACGCUCACACAUUCAACACCUUUGUUUUUUCGUUUUCUCUUUUCUCCUUUUUUCUUUUCCCCCCCCAUUUCUUUUUAACCCCUGCUACCCGCACACUCUUUGUUUCACGUGCACCUCGUCAGACGUUGUGCUUCUGGAGCCACUCCAGGACCACUGGAGUGGUGUAUCGUCGAGGAGGGUGAGGAUACACAGGGACCCAACGGCGUGGGGAGAGGACCUGGCGGCGUUGGGGAACGAGACGAUUCCUCCUGAUUGACAGCUACCUUGAGACCGUCCUGAUGGAGUUGUCAAGGCACUGCUGCCGUGGCUGGGGUAGGCUUCAUCCUCAGCGGCUCCUGGCUCCCCUGAAGCCUAGCGCUCCCCUGGGAUGAGGCUGACUGGCAGGCAGGCGGAGGCCCGGCAGAUGAUAGAUCCCACCACCACCACCACCACCGCCGCCGCCGCCGCCGCCGCCACCGCCGCCGCCGCCGCCGCCGCCGCCCGCCACACAGCGCCACCAGCACCACCAGCACCACCAGCACCACAUUACUGCCACCAGGAGAGCCACGCUUGACAGGGACAGGGGUGGGCGAGGUGCCGCGGCGCCGGCCGUGACCAUCGCUGAACCUCGGGACGAGGGGGCGAAGGCGGUCAGCCGCCGCCGCCGCGGAUGAGCGCCCGUGUGUGUGUACGUGUGUGCGCGUGUGGACACCUGUCUGUCCCGUGUACACCUGUGAGUGUGUGUGUAAGUGUAAGUGUUUGUGUACAUCAAUGCAAUUUUGUAACCUAAUGAAAUAAGUGUGGGUGGGUGGGUGUGUGUGUCUGUGUGUGUGUGCAUGAUCACAAUUUUGUAAUCUAAUAGUGAACUGGUGUGUGUUUGUGUGUGUUUGUGUGUGUGUUUAUGGGGUUGUGGGGGGUAGUUUGUUUACCAUGUGCUCGCACAUCUUUGUUUAUGCGUUAAUAAAUGUGAAAUGUGGCAAUGUGAUCACAUGGAUAUUUUGGAGCGUGAAUUUAAGACAAUUGGACAACUGUUACGAAUUCAAUAUUUUUUUCUCCUCCUCAUUUCUCCCAUCUGGACCUAAGUGUCUUAUCAGCAGUAGGAUGUUACUUAUUAUUUUAAUAACUGACAAAAUAUCAGCCGUGUGUAAUGUGCCAAAUUUGUCACGUCUGUUAACGGAUCUUCCAAAAUCGAAAACAGAUGCUAAAUGACACAUGUUGAAGUUUGACUACCUGAAUAAAUGAAUAAUUUCAAAACAAAGUGCUGCAUUUGGGAGGAUACUAUGCGAAAAAGGAGGACAACUUUUUAAUCACAACAUAUAACCGAAACGUACAGACUGUAAUAAUUUCAUACGAUCUGACAAACAACAGACUGACU